UACAGAGGGGGCGAGCGUUAUUCGGAAUUAUUGGGCGUAAAGGGCGCGUAGGCGGCCUUUCAAGUGACGGGUGAAAUCCCUCGGCUUAACCGAGGAACUGCCUGUCAGACUGGAAGGCUUGAGACCGGGAGAGGUGAGUGGAAUUCCAGGUGUAGCGGUGAAAUGCGUAGAUAUCUGGAGGAACACCGGUGGCGAAGGCGGCAUCCUGGACCAACACUGACGCUGAGUGAGCGAAAGCCAGGGGAGCAAACGGG
rnacentral:rRNA from 1 species